rnacentral:rRNA from 1 species
GACGUAGGGGGCCAGCGUUGUUCGGAAUUACUGGGUGUAAAGGGUUCGUAGGCGGUGUGGCAAGUCGGGAGUGAAAUUUCUGGGCUCAACUCAGAGACUGCUUCCGAAACUGCUGUGCUUGAGUGUGGGAGAGGCGCGUGGAAUUGCAGGUGUAGCGGUGAAAUGCGUAGAUAUCUGCAGGAACACCCGUGGCGAAAGCGGCGCGCUGGACCACUACUGACGCUGAGGUGCGAAAGCGUGGGGAGCAAACAGG